rnacentral:sRNA from 1 species
CUCAUCUGUUCUUUUUUUUGAGGCGGAGUCUCACUCUGUCACCCAGGCUGGAGUGCAGUGGCAUGGUCUCAGCUCACUGCAACCUCCGCCUCCCAUGCUCAAGCAAUUCUCCUGCCUCAGCAUCCCAAGUAGCUGGGAUUACAGGUGCAUGUCACCAUGCCUGGCUAAUUUUUUUGUAUUUUUAGGAGAGGCGGGGUUUCACCAUGUUGGCCAGGCUGGUCUCUUUUACACAAACUUCCAGAACACAGGGAAGGUGUUCCUCAGCUCACUGGCAAGGCUGCCACCCCCACCCCCACCCCCAACCACCUAACAGGACAAGGACAGCACAGGAAAAGAAGGUUGCAGCCAGUCUCAUGGGACCCUCAACAGAACAUCGGCAGCUUGAUUCCGCAGUGGGUGGACAGACUGAUGUGCUGGGGCAGGUGGAGCUUAGCCCAGAUACAAGAGGAUGCUUCAUCCUUAGGGGAUCCUCAACAGAACGUCAGCAGCUUGAUCCCACAGUGGGUGGACAGGCCUAUGCACUGGGGCAGGUGGAGCUUAGCCCAGAUACACGAGGAUGCUCCAUCCUUAGGAAGUCUCUCAGUUAGUACACAGACUUCAAAGCCGACCAGUCUCUCUCAGUUAAAGUACGCAGACUUCAAAGCUGGAUAUGAGUCCUGCCUCCACCUUUUCCAAGCUGGGUGACCUUGGAUGCAUGUCUGGGACUCUCAGAGCCUUGGCUCCCUCAGCUGCAAUUUUGGAAUCUCGAUUCCUGAGCCCUCCAGGGAUGGGUGUAAGGAGGGCUCCAUCAGGCAGUGUGUUCCUGGCUGUGCCAAAUUGGCUCAGUCAGUCACACACAGGGUCACAGCUUAUUACAAAGAAAGAACACAGAUGACAAUCAGCCAAGGGAAGAGAUGUGUGGAACGGGUGGAGGAAGGCUCUGUGCUCGGAGCUCCCAACUGUCCUCCUGCCGUGGAGUGUGGACGGCGCUAACUCCUCCCGGCAACAACGUGUGACAACCUGCAGGGGGUGCUGCUGGCCAGGAACGCUCCCCCGAGCUCGGCACUCGGUCUCUGUUGGGGUUGUGUGUAGAUAUGCUGACCUUCACCUCCAUCCCCGGCAGAGGCCGAGCUGAUGCACGUGGCCCAGACCCCCAACCCUGAGUCACACUGUGGGCUCAGCCCACCCGGGUGGCCCAGGGCUCCAGGUGAGCAGACCCUGCCAUCAGGCAGUGUGUUCUAGGGGCAUAGAGGUGACCCUCCCUGGAGCCAAGGGCAGAGGCCAGACCUCUCUGGACAGGGCUGAGCCUCACUGCACAGCAGCAGCGUCUCGUCCAGUCUCCACGCAGCCUGCAGGGUCCGUCCUGGGUACUUGUGUCAUCUCAGGGAAGGGAAGCAGCUUGCCCGAGGUGACACAGCUGGUUCAGGGACGGGGGGAUCUGUGGAAAAAACGUACUCAAAGUAUCUUUUUCUAUUCUCAGCAUCAGUGACCACAGAAGACAUCUGUGACCAAAUGUUGGAGGGGGUGUCCCCUCACAUACCGAACAAGCAAUCAGCUCUGCAGCAGACACAAGCUGGGCGUCCUCUAUUGCAUUUCCAACACGGUCUCCCUGGAGACAGUGCCAGAUCCCACAGGUUGAGGGCUCACAUCCCAAGACUGGCCCCCCAUUUCUGAUGCCAGUCACAAGCCCCAGGUUAUUUCAUCUGUGCUUCCAACUGACGGGCUGUACAUCGGGCUCCCACAGCCCCUCCUCUGGUUCCGUUAAUUUGCUAGUGUGCUCACAGAACCAGGGAAACAUGUUUACUGAUUUAUUGUAAAGGAGAUUUUAAAGGAUACCAGUGAACAGCCAGAUGGAGAGCCACGUAUGGUGAGGUCUGGAAGGGUUCCGAGCGCCGGGGCCUCUGUCCCUGUGGACUUGGGAUGCACCAUCCUCCUGGCAUGUGGGUGAGGUCUAGUUUACCUUGCUGUCCACCUCCACGAGUUCAGCUCUCUGGAAGCUCCCUGAACCCUGUCCUUUGGGCCUUUUAUGGAGACUUGGUUGAGAGGCAUAACUGAAGCAUGGACAGCCAUGUAGAAAUGCGAUUAGAUAAAACGGGUGUGAUCGAAUCCGAGUAGACCGAGCGGGGAAACCUCGCAAGGCCUGUGUGUUCAGACCCUUCUUGGCCUCCUUUGGCUUUCUUUCCUCAGGGUAGGGGCAGGACCCCUUCUGAAGGGGGGUGUUAUGGCCCACAAUCAGACAAAUUAGGUCAGAAAAAUUUUUUAUGGCCAGAGGUGGGGGAAGAUUUAAGGAUAUUUUUAGUUUUUAAGGCCUGCCUUGUGGAGAAAGAAGAGCAGGUGAAAGUAGGGCAGAAGGUCAGGGAGAGACUCUUUUUCUGAGGCCUAAAGCUUCCCAUCGUUAGAACAAGACUGUAACAAGGGCUGUGGGGGUCAUGAGCCAGGAGCCAUGGACAGAGCCCAAUGUAUACAUAUCAUAAAAUCACAGGGAGGGUUAGGACCCCGGGGCUGCUCCAUGCUCCCCACUUCUGUGUGCCUGGCCCCGCAAGGCGCACCUGUCCCCGCAUGGGUGUGCCCUGGAUGUCUCUUCCUGUGGACAAUGCCUGGCCAGCGUCCCCUGUCUCUGGGGCCUCAAACCAGGAAGUUCCCCGAGGAAUGGGUGGAUCUCAGGCUUUUCUGUGCCCAAGAUCUCUGGGAGAACCGUCUGCUGGCACGGCUUCCCAGGCUCCACUCUCAGGUGUGUCAACCCCGGUGCCCUUGAGCUGAGGCCAGGACAGCACCCCUGCCCAGCCUCUGCCUGUGGCUAACACCACACAAGGGUCAUGGGAGCCCCGCCAAGGGCCAAGGAGCUGGAGGGUGGUCCAGGGUGGUGCUCUGGGCCCGAGUGAGACUGUGCUCUUCUGACUCUCUCCGAUGGGCCCCAGAGCCCAUCACGGUCCCACAGCCAGGUUGCGAGGCACCUAGGAUCUAGUCAGCGUUGUGCCAAGCCCCCAUCCCCAUGCCUCAGCCGCCUGAGUCACUGGGAUUAUAGUCAUGAGCCACCAGGCCCACGCUCUUGUAUUUUGACCCCCUUAUUUAGGAAACGUUUUCUUGUCUGUCAGAGUGAGGGCAGGUGGUUUGCCCCUGCCACUUUGCUUUUUUUUUUUGGAGACAGAGUCUCACUCUGUUGCCCAGGCUGGAGUACAGUGGUGUGAUCUCGGCUCACUGCAACCUCCGCCUCCCGGGUUCAAGUGAUUCUCCUGCCUCAGCGUCCCGAGUAGCUUUGAUUACAGGUACGUGGCACCACGCCCAGCUAAUUUGUUGUAUCUUUAGUAGAGUUAGGAUUUCACCAUGUUGGCCAAGCUGGUCUCAAACUCCUCACCUUGUGAUCUGCCCGCCUCAGCCUCCCAAAGUGCUGGGAUUACAGGCGUGAGCCACCUCGCCUGGCCUAGGCAUUGCUAAUUUUCACACCAAUGAUUGCUUUAUGAUCCAGGUACUCCUCUGGCCGAAAAUAUUUGAAACGGGGAAAAGGCGUGGUACGUGACUUAGCUGUCAUAGGCACCAGAAGAAUUCUCAUCCCUUUCCCUUGGGGACGUGGUUUUGAGGAAUUAUGUAGUAGGGCGAAGAAACCACAACCAGAGUUGGACUGAAACUUUUUAAAUUUUUGGUCUUCCUGGUUGGUGCCAUCCUGCUUGGCAGCUGUUCUGCCGUUUCACACCAAGAAAAGUUGUUUCUGAACUUAGUUUACUUUUUUCCCAAGUUAAAAGUAGCUUAUAUAUUCUGCAUUUUGUUAAGGAGCUUGCACUUUAUCCAAAUGGCAGGACGAAGCUGAUCUGAGACAGGUGUAUUAGUUAGUUCUUGCUUCCUGACAAGUCACCCCAAACUCAGGGGUGUAAACAGUAACAUCUGUCAGCUCAGAAAGCCUCUGUGGGUCUGGAGUCUGCGAGUGGCUUGGGCACGCGGACCUGGCCCAGGGUCUCCUGUGAGGUCACAGUGCAGUGUUGGCCGGGCUGUCAUCUGAAGGUUGGUGGCUUCAAGAUGGCUCCCUGGCAGGGGGUUGGCAGGAGGCCUUGGUUCCUCACCUGGGGGCCUCUCUGUGGGGCGGCUUCAGUGUCUGCCAGCAUGACUGUGGCUUCCCCCCAGCAGGGAUGGGAUUGCACAGCUGGUCGACGGUGGUGGGGAGAGGGAGAAAUAGAGGCCCUCGCUCAGGUUUCUGAGUUCAAAACUGCGCUCUCAUUUCAGGGGCCAGCAGCCUCCCCCGAUGGGUCAUCAGCAACGAGGGUGCCUCAGGAUGUGACGCAGGGCCCUGGGGCCACAGGUGGAAAGGAGGACAGCGGGAUGAUUCCCUUAGCAGGCACCGCCCCUGGGGCUGAGGGGCCGGCGCCUGGGGACUCCCAGGCUGUGCGCCCCUACAAGCAGGAGCCCAGCAGCCCCCCGCUGGCGCCUGGCCUGCCCGCCUUCCUAGCGGCCCCGGGCACCACGUCCUGCCCCGAGUGCGGCAAAACGUCCCUGAAACCAGCUCACCUGCUGCGCCACCGGCAGAGCCACUCGGGCGAGAAGCCGCACGCCUGCCCUGAGUGCGGGAAGGCCUUUCGGCGCAAGGAGCACCUGCGGCGCCACCGCGACACGCACCCCGGCAGCCCCGGCAGCCCCGGGCCCGCGCUGCGCCCUCUGCCCACCCGUGAGAAGCCCCACGCGUGCUGCGAGUGUGGCAAGACCUUCUACUGGCGCGAGCACCUGGUGCGCCACCGCAAGACGCACUCGGGAGCGCGGCCCUUUGCCUGCUGGGAGUGUGGCAAGGGCUUCGGGCGCCGCGAGCACGUGCUGCGCCACCAGCGCAUCCACGGCCGGGCAGCGGCCAGCGCGCAGGGGGCGGUAGCUCCGGGCCCCGAUGGUGGAGGCCCCUUCCCGCCCUGGCCCUUGGGUUAGCCGCCUCCCGGCCCGCGCCACCUCUCGCCCUCGGUGCUGCCCCCGGGCGGUCCCUCCUCUCUCCCAGCGCCACUUGGCCUCUUCGCCUCCUCCUUCCCUCCCAUCGUCCUCCUGCACCUGCGCCUCCCUUGUCUGAACUUCCCAACGCCUUCCUCUCUAUUCCUUUCCAACUCCUUCUCCCCCAAAUUUCACUUUCCUUCUCAGGUCUCACCUCAGCCCCCCCUUCUCCCUGAUUUCUCGGCCUCUCUCUCUGUGUGAAGGGGCCUCUCCCUAAUGUCUCCUCCUUUCCCCCUCUUCUCUCUCCUGCGGCCCAGCCUCCCUCUCCCUCCUCCAUUCCUCUCUCCCUGCCCUUUUCCUGCCUGAAGAGCAGAGGUGAGGACCUGGGACCUCUGAGGGGCAGGCCAGGAGGAGCUCGGGCGCAGGCCAGGCCCCCUUGGUGAAGCGGAGGCUGAAGGAAAGGGGUCUGGGUCUUGUCCCUAGGAAUUCUCCUCCCGCAGGACAGAUUGGGGGUCGGGGGAGGCAGCGGGUGAUGGCUCUGAAGCUGAACCCAGGGCCUGGCUGUGGUCUCCUUGGUCUCGCUGCCCCCUGUGACCCAAAGGCAUGGGAUGGACAGAGAUGCCUGCCCCCGUGAAGCUGGUUGGGGAGGGCAGUUCACCAGCAUCCAUAGAGUAAUAAAGUCACUGUGUGUAG